GUUGGCGACGUUCAGUUCCUUGAUGGUGCGCACCCAGCGCACACGCUCGUUCGACAACCCGUUCAGUAACCUUGCCAAAAUUGUUUUUACACAAUGAUU